AGAUUAAGAUGUACAUUUACCUUAUUGUUAAGCUGACUGCCAACUGAUUGACAUGAGAAGUGAACAGAGUGUUGGCUUAUGACUAAAUGCAUGUUGUUGUUUUUUGUUGUUUUGUUUCCUUUUCAUUGUCAGUCAUAAAUCCAGCAUUGUCAAAUUACUUUGUCGAAUGUAAACCUGUGCUAAACAAUCUCUUAAUAUGAGACAAGGAGUGGGGCAGAUAUUGAAUAAAAAAUGUAAUAUUCUG